rnacentral:rRNA from 1 species
UGGGGAAUUUGGACAAUGGCGAAAGCCUGAUCCAGCAAUGCCGCGUGUGUGAAGAAGGCCUUCGGGUUGUAAAGCACUUUUGUCCGGAAAGAAAUCCUUGGCUCUAAUACAGUCGGGGGAUGACGGUACCGGAAGAAUAAGCACCGGCUAACUACGUGCCAGCAGCCGCGGUAAUACGUAGGGUGCAAGCGUUAAUCGGAAUUACUGGGCGUAAAGCGUGCGCAGGCGGUUUGCUAAGACCGAUGUGAAAUCCCCGGGCUCAACCUGGGAACUGCAUUGGUGACUGGCAGGCUAGAGUAUGGCAGAGGGGGGUGAGAAUUCUACGUGUAGCAGUGAAAUGCGUAGAGAUGUGGAGGAAUACCGAUGGCGAAGGCAGCCCCCUGGGCCAAUACUGACGCUCAUGCACGAAAGCGUGGGGAGCAAACAGGAUUA